rnacentral:rRNA from 1 species
GACGAACCGUGCGAACGUUGUUCGGAUUCACUGGGCUUAAAGGGCGCGUAGGCGGGCGGUCAAGUCAGGGGUGAAAUCUUUCAGCUCAACUGGAAAAGUGCCUCUGAUACUGACUGUCUCGAGGGAGGUAGGGGCAUGUGGAACUUCCGGUGGAGCGGUGAAAUGCGUAGAUAUCGGAAGGAACGCCGGUGGCGAAAGCGACGUGCUGGACCUCUUCUGACGCUGAGGCGCGAAAGCUAGGGGAGCAAACGGG